rnacentral:rRNA from 1 species
UGAGUAACCUGCCCUUAACUCUGGGAUAAGCCUGGGAAACUGGGUCUAAUACCGGAUAUGACUCCUCAUCGCAUGGUGGGGGGUGGAAAGCUUUAUUGUGGUUUUGGAUGGACUCGCGGCCUAUCAGCUUGUUGGUGAGGUAAUGGCUCACCAAGGCGACGACGGGUAGCCGGCCCGAGAGGGUGACCGGCCACACUGGGACUGAGACACGGCCCAGACUCCUACGGGAGGCAG